rnacentral:rRNA from 1 species
AUUGAACGCUGGCGGCAGGCCUAACACAUGCAAGUCGAGCGGAUGAAGGGAGCUUGCUCCUGGAUUCAGCGGCGGACGGGUGAGUAAUGCCUAGGAAUCUGCCUGGUAGUGGGGGAUAACGUCCGGAAACGGGCGCUAAUACCGCAUACGUCCUGAGGGAGAAAGUGGGGGAUCUUCGGACCUCACGCUAUCAGAUGAGCCUAGGUCGGAUUAGCUAGUUGGUGGGGUAAAGGCCUACCAAGGCGACGAUCCGUAACUGGUCUAAGAGGAUGAUCAGUCACACUGGAACUGAGACACGGUCCAGACUCCUACGGGAGGCAGCAGUGGGGAAUAUUGGACAAUGGGCGAAAGCCUGACCCAGCCAUGCCGCGUGUGUGAAGAAGGUCUUCGGAUUGUAAAGCACUUUAAGUUGGGAGGAAGGGCAGUAAGUUAAUACCUUGCUGUUUUGACGUUACCAACAGAAUAAGCACCGGCUAACUUCGUG